rnacentral:rRNA from 1 species
AUCGCAUCCACCCGUGCAUUAAUUCGAUCAUACAAAACGGCUCGGUCCGUGGUUAAGCCAAUGACCAAGGUCGAGAACAACGGCGCUGGUUGUGGCUGGUCAGAAAAGCGCCGUCCAGUUAAUUCACCGACUUCUAAGGCACGAAUCACCCGCCGCGUAUUGGCCGGCGCAAUUUGUUGCGCAGCAUCUGGGUCGCGCUGUGCCAAUUGCUGCCACAACCAUGAUUGACCGUUUGUUGCUAGCGCCACCUGCCAGCGCUGCCGAAUAGCUGUCGGCGGCGCCUUCCCGCCUAAAGGCAGAUUUAAGCGCAAACUAUUAAGAUAAAAACCGGUACCGCCUACCAGAAUCGGUAAUUGUUGCCGAUCAGCCACCGUAUCAAUCAUGGCCGUCGCUGCCUUUUUAAACUUGGCGACCGAGUAUGCGACGGUAGGGUCAGCGAUAUCCAAUAAAUGGUGUGGCACCCCUUGCAUCUCUUUUGGCGUGAUUUUCGCCGUUCCAAUGUCCAUGUGGCGAUAAAUCUGAUAGGCGUCGCCGUUAAUCACUUCACCGUGUAGCUGCUGGGCUAAAUAAACGCCGAGGUCACUUUUUCCAACAGCUGUCGGUCCGACAAUCAUGACAAUCCGUUUGGCUGGUUUAUCCAUUUCAUUAAGCUCCGAUAGUAUAGUAUAAUAAAAACAGUAUCAUAGAUCAUUAAUCAGGGGGGAUUUUCAUGAAACAUAAAUUUGCUCGUGGCUUUUUUGUUGGCACGCUGAUGACCCUUGGCGCAAUUGCCGGUAGCGUUUUUGCCUUUAAGAAAAACUAUAUCGAACCUGUGGAAACUAAGGUCGAUGAAAUUAACGAUAACCGGCGUAAAGCUAACCGUAAGCGUUUCUCAGCUCAUCAAGGUUAAGCAACACCAGCUGUUAAUAGCGGUAUGUUCAUAAUGAGCGCCGCUAUCAGCAAAAAAGCAAUCGACAAGUUCGAUUGCUUUUUUCUUGCGCUUAUGUAGCGGCUAAUAGUUAGUCGGGCUCUUUUUUGUUUUGCCUGACCAGUUAUCAUAGCCGCCUUUUAGCCAACUGAUUUUUUCGAAACCAUUCUUGCGUAAACGCCGAGCAGCACGCAAGGAGAGCACGCCAGUUUUGUCAUAGAGAUAAACAGGCAGAUCUUGACGCAUUUCACCCAUCCGUUCACGCAACUGCGUGUAAGGAAUAUCGCGGGCACCGAGAAUAUGGCCCGCUUUGAAUUCGUUACGCUCGCGUAAGUCAAUAAUCUGUGCUUUACGCAUGGUAUGUUCAAAGUCAUCCGGCGUGAUCUCGCCGCCGAUAGCCUUAAACCGUGAUUUUUGAUAGUAACUCCACAACCAAUUGAAACCCCAAUAAAUCAGAAACAAUCCAACAAAAAUUAACAGAUAAGUUAACACGUGUAUGACUCCUUCUUCCGCUUACUUAAGUGCAAGGCUGGCAGCUCCGAUAACGCCAGCAGUGUUACCUAGCGUUGCCAGACGCAGACUUGUUGUUUCCCGAACAUUCGGGAACGUAUUUUCCUUGAAAUACUUAUCAACUCGCUUCAGCAAAAAGUCGCCUGCUGCU